UAUUUUGACUAUACAAAGGUAUUGUAAUAAGACUUUAAUUGAGUGCUAAAAGAAUGGAAUUACAAAAAAAAACUUUAUUAAUUAUAAUAAUAAAAUUUAAUUUUAUUUGUGAAGAAGCAAUAAUAAAAAUUAAGGACAAGAAGACCCUAAGAAUUUUAUAAAUUUUAUUUAGAUUAAUACUAAAUUUUAAUUUUUUAAUUGGGGCGAUUAAAAAAUAUUAAGAACUUUUUUUUUAAAAAAAAGAACCAUUAUUAGUGGUAAAAUGGAAAAAUA
rnacentral:rRNA from 1 species